rnacentral:sRNA from 1 species
CCACAAAAAUAGGUACAAUUUAGUUACAGACUACCGAACACAAAAAAAUAAACAAGAAGGUCAAAGUCGAAAGGCGAAGUGCUUCCAGGACCGCUCCUCGCCUUAACCUUGCUUUUACCUGUGGAAUCAGAAUGCCACCCAGGACACCCUGCCACCCAGGAUACGUG